ensembl:lncRNA
AUUGAUUUAUUAUGCAUACUAUGUCUGGCCAGGAGAGGGCACCAGAUCCCAUUAUAGAUCGGUUGUGAGACACCAUGUGGUUGCUGGGAAUUGAACUCAGGACCUUUGGAAGACCAAGCCAGUGCUCUUAACCGCUGAGCCAUCUUUCCAUCCCACCCCCACCCCCUACUUGUUUUUAACAUUUCUGGAGAUCCAAGGUUCGGUUGAGGACUAGGAGAUCAUGGGAAGAGAAAAGACACACUAUUUAAAGAACACCCUGCCUCUGAGGACAAUUUUUAAGAAGGUGAGUGUAAUCAGUGGUUAUUAACUUCUCGCUUUUUCCUCAGCUGCCAGUGCGGUCCUGAGAAUCUAUAGCUCAGGCUGAUGUGGUGGCUUAGAGGGUAAAGGCACUCAUCAGCAGCCCGAGUUCAAUCCCCAGGAAGAAAACAAGGCUUCGAGUUGUCCUCUGACACCUUCAUGUUCUCCCUUAAAUAAGUGUAAAUAAAAAUGAAUCCACAAUCUGUUCAGCCAAAUGCUCAAGGUCUCAUCCGUUUGUUUUUGUCUACUUCUUUUAUUCAUUCUCUCUCCCGUCUUUUCCUUCCCUUCCCCUCCCACCACACCUAGUUCAGCAAAACAAAACAUGGAUUCUAGAGUGUUUAGUAAUGACUGCUCUUCCUGCAUCUACUGGGGAUCUUGGGACUUUGAAGGGAAAUCCCUGGAAAGGCUUGGAGACUAUACAGGCUAAUUGAGGUUCAGUGACGUGGAGAGGUUGGAGGUUCAGAGCCCAGUGACUUUGGGUAACCUUUACCCAAAAACCUCCCCUCCCCUGUAUGAGACCACAGCCUUGCGACUGUUCAGUAAAUCCUUUGAUGUGUACGAACAGAUCCCCGGCCUCUGACCCAAAUGCCGAGGGUCUGUCCUGAUGGCACCAGGUCUUCGGCAGCUUGUUCCCAUUGCUUUCCUGUAAUCUGCCUGCUGAGGUACCUUCCAGGGUAUCUGAAAAGUCUGUUGGUUUCUGGUGCUCUUUGCUCUGUUCAGUCUUGGCAUGCCUCAGGCAGGACGGCAGGGUUCUUGGAGGUUAAAUAUGGGUCCGAGAGGACUUGUCAUUUCCUUGCCUCUGGCAGAAGAAACACACAGCUCUCCCGUGGUUGCAUAUCAAAGCCCAUGCUGGCCUCCAGUCCUGGCCCUUCUCACUUUCUUUCUUCUCUACCCUAGGGUGUCCAGGACUGUUCCUCCUCCUCCAAACUUGCCAGUACUCUACAAAACAGCAACAUUUCCCAGUCUCCUCUGUCCCCCAUCUCUCACACAUAUCCCUUCUUCUGCAGACAGCCCUGGCCAUACCCAGUCUGCUUCUUUUCCUCUGUGCUCUGGACAUUUUCUUCUUUUUCUCUGUGCCUCUGCAUAUUUUCUUUCUAUCUACGAUUAAAAACCUUCCCCAUUAGUCCUUGAACGGCCAUUUAGGUGGUUCCUUUAUUGUGCUCCCUCACAAUUAAAACUGAUGCUACAUUGGAACAUGGGAUUUGGGGACACCUGAAUCUGUUUGUUCUUGGGCCACAGCCACUCAUGUUUGGCUCCGGCAUACACUCUCUCUCAGCCACUUUGAGGUGAGAGCUCUGUUUCUUACAAAACAGGAUGUGUUCUCUGAGGAUAAAGGACUUCUGUACAGGGAUAUACCACUACAGAAUUUUAAGCAUUGACCAUAGAAUCCCAAAGUCUGAGCCAAACAACUGCCCACUGAAUUCCAAAGAUAUUAUGCAACGUGCACAACUCACAUAGGCUGCAUUGUGCAUGGGACACAGGCAGCACCUUCAAGAGCAGUAGAGAGAAAACAACUCUAUGGGUAGACAAAUCCUAAAUUAUUUGAUGCAUUUUCUCCUACUUGGAAGCUAAUUAAUGCCGUUAUGGUAUCCUCACACACAUCCCAUUGCUCAGUUAAUAGUCCAGGAGGUUACUGACCAUUUAAUCCUGUGAAGAAUCAAGACUCAAGGCUGGCUUGUAAUCCUAGCACGUGGGAGGCUGAUGCAGGAGGAUCGCCGUGGGUGGACAGCUUGGACAAAAAUGAAUCAAAAGAAACAAAAAGUUAAAAAUCACACUUAGAGAAGGCAAAGUCGCCUUUCCAGUUUCCGGCCCUUUACCACCUUGGUCAGUCAACUCGAAGGUUUAGGAUUCGAAACUUUUUACUAGGGGCCUGAGAUACGAAAACAGGUGGUUGCGUAUGCUGAAGUUUAACGAAGCGAACUGCGAAGUGUGAGGUUGGAGGAAAAUACGGUGGUCUUUGCGUGUUGUUUCUUACUUCUGCAUCCAGGCUGUCCCUGGUGGCGUCCCUCGGCUCUCCGCCAGCCUUCCCUUUAGCCUGUGGUCUUCUGAAGUCACAGGUUGACUUUCUGAUGACUGACCGUCCUUCCCGCCCCAACUGUACUCUGACCCAGACAGAGUGAGUGACACUCGCCCACUUUGUAACCACAGUAAUGCUGUCCCCUCCAGCUUCUCGUACUUUUCCCUUGCAGUGCAAGCCUGCGUAAUGCUGGGUCUUUGAGGCAGGGGGUGUCUUUGGCUCGCCAUCGAUCCCUGAUUUUUCUGGAUCUAGGAAAGCGGGUCUCCGGGAGCAGACAGACUAGAAUCAGGGAUGUGGCUAGCAAUACACCACUUGGAAUUCCAUGGAGGUGGGCCUGCUUACCAGAUCUGCUUACCUAGCACCGGCAUGUCCAUUAAUAAUGUGGAAGGACUAGGUGAGCGGUUGCUAGUUUAAUUCGAAGCCCUUAACUUUCUCAACGGCGGCGGAAGGACGCCAACAAGCUAAUUCACCUGCCUUUGCUUAGG